rnacentral:rRNA from 1 species
GAUGAACGCUGACAGAAUGCUUAACACAUGCAAGUCUUUGGCGAAGCUGUGCUUGCACAGCCUAGCCAAGGCGGACGGGUGAGUAACGCGUAAGGAACUUGCCCUGCAGUCAGGGAUAACAGACGGAAACGACUGAUAAGACCUGGUAAAGUCAGGCGGACUCAUGUCCAGCCUGAUGAAAAGAGAUGCUGCAGGAGAGCCUUGCGUCCUAUUAGCUUGUUGGUGGGGUAACGGCCCACCAAGGCGAUGAUAGGUAGCCGGCCUGAGAGGGUGGACGGCCACAAGGGGACUGAGAUACGGCCCUUACUCCUACGGGAGGCAGCAGUGGGGAAUAUUGGACAAUGGGGGCAACCCUGAUCCAGCAAAUCUGUGUGCACGAUGAAGGUUUUCGGAUUGUAAAGUGCUUUCAGCGGGGAAGAAAAAAAUGACGGUACCUGCAGAAGAAGCGACGGCUAAAUACGUG